rnacentral:rRNA from 1 species
UAGACACUAAGGCAGACCAUGUUAAACACCCCUAGAAAAAGGACUAAACUAAAUGGCACCUCCCAGAUGUCUUUGGUUGGGGCGACCACGGGGAACACAAAACCCCCGCAUGGAUUGGACACACCACCUUCUACAACUAAGAGCUUCCACUCUAAUGAACAGAACUUCUGACCUACAUGAUCCGGCAACGCCGAUCAACGGACCGAGUUACCCU